AUUGAACGCUAGCGGGAUGCUUAACACAUGCAAGUCGAACGAGUGGCGGACGGGUGAGUAAUGUAUGGGAAAAUGCCUCAUGGAGGGGGAUAACUACUGGAAACGGUAGCUAAUACCGCAUACUAUCGGACGUGCCCAGAUGGGAUUAGAUAGUCGGUGGGGUAAAGGCUCACAUAGGCAACGAUCCCUAGCUGGUCUGAGAGGAUGACCAGCCACACUGGAACGGAGACACGGUCCAGACUCCUACGGGAGGCAGCAGUGGGGAAUAUUGCACAAUGGGCGCAAGCCUGAUGCAGCCAUGCCGCGUGUAUGAAGAAGGCCUUCGGGUUGUAAAGUACUUUCAGCGGGGAGGCGUUACCCGCAGAAGAAGCACCGGCUAACUCCGUGCCAGCAGCCGCGGUAAUUC
rnacentral:rRNA from 1 species